GUGUUUUGUGAACUCUUUUCAGUACAAAAUGCAUGUUAGUGGUGAAAAAAAUCUAAAAUUUAUUGUUCUCAUUAAUAACGCUUUUACUAUAAAUACAAACAAUUGCACCUGGCCAUCAUCAGUUCAUUCAAAACAACUUUACAGAAGUCAAGCCACAAAAAUAAAAUGUUCAACAGCAAGUUUGUUAUCGUGUUAGUGGUGGCCGUCAUGUUCAUUUUAGAAAUUGCAGCGCAAUCGAGUGGUGGUCCAGUAAAUCUGAACGGCACUGCUGAAGAACUGAUUUUCUUCCCACCUUUCUUCCCUCCAGUGCCGCUGCCAAGCGGUAACCGUGGCGGUUCCUAAAUUUUUGUCAAAUUUUUACAGUUUAUGAAAUAAAUAGUUGCAGUUGAA